rnacentral:rRNA from 1 species
CAGUCGCCGCGGGAAUACGAAGGGUGCAAGCGUUACUCGGAAUUACUGGGCGUAAAGCGUGCGUAGGUGGUGGUUUAAGUCCGUUGUGAAAGCCCUGGGCUCAACCUGGGAAUUGCAGUGGAUACUGGGUCACUAGAGUGUGGUAGAGGAUAGUGGAAUUUCCGGUGUAGCAGUGAAAUGCGUAGAGAUCGGGAGGAACAUCAGUGGCGAAGGCGGCCAUCUGGGACAACACUGACGCUGAGGCACGAAAGCGUGGGGAGCAAACAGGAUUAGAGACCCCCGUAGUCCCUGUCUCUUAUAC